GGAAGACCAAGGGUUCCUGUCCAACGUUAAUCGGGGCAGGGUGAGUCGACCCCUAAGGCGAGGCCGAAAGGCGUAGUCGAUGGGAAACAGGUUAAUAUUCCUGUACUUGGUGUUACUGCGAAGGGGGGACGGAGAAGGCUAUGUUAGCCGGGCGACGGUUGUCCCGGUUUAAGCAUGUAGGCUGGUUAUCCAGGCAAAUCCGGAUAAUCAAGGCUGAGGUGUGAUGACGAGGCACUACGGUGCUGAAGUAACAAAUGCCCUGCUUCCAGGAAAAGCCUCUAAGCAUCAGGUAACAUUAAAUCGUACCCCAAACCGACACAGGUGGUCAGGUAGAGAAUACCAAGGCGCUUGAGAGAACUCGGGUGAAGGAACUAGGCAAAAUGGUGCCGUAACUUCGGGAGAAGGCACGCUGGUGUGUAGGUGAAGUCCCUGCGGAUGGAGCUGAGACCAGUCGAAGAUACCAGCUGGCUGCAACUGUUUAUUAAAAACACAGCACUGUGCAAACACGAAAGUGGACGUAUACGGUGUGACGCCUGCCCGGUGCCGGAAGGUUAAUUGAUGGGGUUAUCCGUAAGGAGAAGCUCUUGAUCGAAGCCCCGGUAAACGGCGGCCGUA
rnacentral:rRNA from 1 species